rnacentral:rRNA from 1 species
UACGAAGGGGGGCUAGCGUUGCUCGGAUUUACUGGGCGUAAAGGGCGCGUAGGCGGACAGUUAAGUUGGGGGUGAAAGCCCGGGGCUCAACCUCGGAAUUGCCUUCAAUACUGGCUGUCUUGAGUGCGGGGAGAGGUGUGUGGAACUCCGAGUGUAGAGGUGAAAUUCGUAGAUAUUCGGAAGAACACCAGUGGCGAAGGCGACACACUGGCCCGUUACUGACGCUGAGGCGCGAAAGCGUGGGGAGCAAACAGG